rnacentral:rRNA from 1 species
GACGAACGCUGGCGGCGUGCUUAACACAUGCAAGUCGAACGGUGAAGCGCCUUCCUUUUUGGUGGGUGUGGAUGAGUGGCGAACGGGUGAGUAACACGUGAGUAACCUGCCCCCUUCUUCUGGAUAACCGCAUGAAAGUGUGGCUAAUACGGGAUAUUCUGGGUCUGUCGCAUGAUGGGUCUGGGAAAGAUAUUGUUUCGGUGGGGGAUGGGCUCGCGGCCUAUCAGCUUGUUGGUGGGGUGAUGGCCUACCAAGGCGGUGACGGGUAGCCGGCCUGAGAGGAUGGACGGUCACACUGGGACGGAGACACGGCCAAGACUCCUACGGGAGGCAGCAGUGGAGAAUAUUGCACAAUGGGAGCAAGGCUGAUGCAGCGACGCCGCGGGAGGGAUGGAGGCCUUCGGGUUGUGAACCUCUUUCGCCAGUGAAGCAGGCCUGCCUCGUUUGUGGGUGGGUUGACGGUAGCUGGAUAAGAAGCGCCGGCUAACUACGUG